GGCUUCGUGGUCGAGUGGUAAGGACACUUGUCUCUCACCCUAGAGUCCCAGGUUCGACCCCAAUCGAGGAGCUA